AUGUCUCGUGUCUGUGGUUGAAAGUUGAGGCUAGUCGCAGGCAAAGCAAUCCACGUAAACUUCACUAAAAUCGGUGGAGCGAUCAUAGUGCGGCCUAGAAGUAAGUCCAGCCGGCGCAAGUCGAGAGAAGGAGUCGUGAUAUCAAAGCCAAACUUCCAGCUGGCGAGUGUGGGGUUAAAGACCAGGUCAGACGAGAUGU
rnacentral:ncRNA from 12 species